UAUUGUAGAUUUCUCCGGCGG
rnacentral:piRNA from 1 species